rnacentral:lncRNA from 1 species
UGCUCAUGGUCACAAGGGUGUUUUGUUUUUGUCCUACUGCAAAGCAGGCUGUGAUCUGAACUUGUCACCACUGAAACUGAGGAGAGGAUUCCCUUAAACAUGGAUUCACUGAAGGUGUAAGGUGCUCAGCUGAGUUAAAAGAACUCAGGCCGUCGGAUGGGCUUGUGCAGAGAGGACCCAAGCAUGGAAGAGCUUCAUAAACAAGACCUCGCUGCCCUUGGACUUCUACUUCUGUUGAUGUUACUGGCCACACACACCCAGCCUGGAUGGGUAUACUCAAAGCCUGCCAAGGAUGGGCAGCUUUAAAAGGGAAGCUGAGGUGAGUUUUCUGUCUUUACUGAAAUGUGAAGAUGUCCAGCCCAGAUAAGAUUUGCCUCUAUGUGGUCUAAUUGGUGUAGCCCCAGAACCUCAUGAGCAAGUAAUCUAAAUCUCGUUCAUUUAAACAAUGUGAAUAUAUAUCAUCUCAAUGACCAGUGAGUGUCAACUUCCUCCAUCCUUAUUCUGGUUCACUAUAUAAGAAACUUGCAUUUGGGAAAUGUGGAACAGAGUAACUGUUUCUGUGGUCCACCUCUGGCUUCUCCCAGAUGAUCUAUCCAAUUAGAGUAUUUCACUCGACUGUAAAUUUUCAGCAAAUAAAGAUUUAAAAUUUAAACUUAAGUAUCUAAUUGGACUCAGAUAUGCCAAGGGUAGGCAAUCUGCUUUUAGUUACUUGAUUUAAAAGAUUGUUUUGAAAUGUAUUUUAUUUUUAAACUAAUAUUUAUGGAUAGAUUAUCCUUUAACACUACUCCCUCUUUCAAAGCUAGAAGAUGCAGACAUUCCCCGCUCCUGGACCAUGAAGGGUGGUGGGUUCAAGAAUUUUCACUUCUUUCACAACAUUACAAGAGUGUCAUUGGCUACACGCCUUCUCCUUAGUCACUUCAGCAUGACUGGAGCCUUUUACAGAGCAUGAAGGAAAACUGAGACCUUCCUCAGCUCUCCAUAGUCUUAUUAAUAUUUGCAAAAAUGCAUGUGGAGAAGUUGCUUGAUAAGCAAAGGAAGAAGCAGACCACUGGGUGCCAAGACAAUAGAGUUGCCUUCCUGCCAGCACGAGUUCUCAGGAAGGUGGAUUUGGGUGUGCUCAUCAAUUGGAGAGCUAUUUCUUUUGAUUUGAUUCCCUACCCCAUUCUCUCUGUAGGAAUCCAGGGCUCACAACCUGACCAUCCUGGCACCCGCUUCUCCUUUGCCUGAGGUGCCUCACCCAGCCCUGCGUGCACAACGCGCCCUCAGCUUCACCUAAGACUUGAAAGACUUUUCGGGUUAUGACAUUCCCCUAAAUGUGCUGAGCUUUCCUUAACCUUUCAUAAAACAUUGUGAUCUUUAUGGACUGUAUCAUAUUGUGCAGUAAUGUGCUUUAUUGUGCACAGAAUAAGCUUUUCUUAAAGAUAAUUGGAAAGCUGGAAAUGGCUGCUAUCGGCCGAUUUUUAAAAAAAAAUACAUUAUUUCUGAAAUAGGGCUGGUGUAAUAAUGACCCUAUCUGUUCAAGAUUUAAGAUUUGUCUUGGCAGAGAAAAUUGAUCCAUUUCACCUUUGUCUAAUGGAAAUUUUUAUCUAGGAUUAUCUGUUUAUGUAAAUGAAUGUCCCUGUGAAGAGGGAACUUGAGGAGGCUGUAAAUCUUGGUGACACCUCAGUUUCAUAGGGGAGAAAUUGGAAAGGAUUCUAGUAUUUAUCUGCCCGAAAUUGGUUAUAAAAACAAAAUUAUCUUCGUGUACCUGCAGCAUCUGAUGUUUUCUGAAAUUUCAUUAUAUUUCUGAAUAAUUCAGGGAGCCAUGGGAAUAGUGUUUUGACAUGACCUCAAUCGCAAAUUGUUUUUACUUUUAAAAUUUUAUAGUCACCUGCUAAUGUGCUUCCUUUCCUGCCUCUUUAAGGGUGAGAGUGUUUUCUACACCGUUGUAGGAGUCUUCAGCCACGCUAGGCUCAUUAUCUGUGGGUAAAUGAAGUGACUGUAUUAGCAGAAUAUCUACCAAUUUUCUCUCUAAAAAUACCACCGCUACUAUACAUUCUAUCUGUGGGCCAAAAUCCUAGGGGUCUGAAUCAUAAUUGCUGUACAUUUAGACAAUGUCUUUUCAUGGCGACUGUUGGGCCACACUGACUUCCUCUCAUAUGGUAGUGGAAGUUGCCAUGUAACAACUUUACAAAGGUAACAGCAUGUGACACAUUCUUUCUCUUCAAGUCAAAGAGAAAAACAAAGAAAGGCCUAAAAGAAAUAUUGACUCUUGUUACUUCUUGCUUCCUUCUUUGAAAAUAUAUGUGUAGUUUCUUUCUAGGGACUGCUAACUUCAUUAUCCAAUGCCUGGUGGUGGUCCACUGUCUUUGUUCCUUUAGCAGCCAUUGUCUCUGAGUCCCCCCAUUUACAUAAUAUCUGAACUAUUUCAUCAGGACUCAAAUAAACAGUAUUAUGUUGCAUUAAAGCUGAUGUAAAUAUAAUAUUUAAUGGUGGGACACAGGGACUGAAAAUUGCCCAGAACUUGGAGUUUUCUUUCCUGCCUUUUUAAGGAUGUGAUUCUUUCCCAAUAAGCAGUGUGGAGUGAGCAGCCAGAAGUGGUGUUGGCUGUCGGGAUUAUCAACUAUACCAUCGUUAUGCCUGCAGACAUGUGUUUUGUUGCUAUCAGUAGGUUCAACAAAAUUGGCAAAACUAAAAAAUAAAUGCUAUUUUGGAAACUC